rnacentral:lncRNA from 1 species
CUCACUCUGACCAUGCGGGUGCGCUGUCCUGCAUUUUUUUCAGGCAGAAAGUUCAGGUGGUAACUGUAGAUCUUGCACAGUCCCUGCGGGCUGGACAGCGAAGGUCAGCAGUGAUUGGGAGCUGGAGCUUAGGAGGGCAGAGGGCUCGGUUCUCCUGGGACCUAGGCUGGGUGACAAGUGUCAGACACCGUGUGGACCGCUGGGCUACAGACAGCAAAAAUUACCAGCAGGCAGCACGGCCAGCUCUGGAACCUUCCACGUGCACUUUUAGGCCAUCGUGAGGGAUGCGGCUAUGCUUCCCCAGACAGGAGGAGCCCUCGUGCACACUGGUCUUGGCGGAUUGGAAGUGGCAGAAAGUGCUCUGCGGCACACUAAGCCUCAGUUAGAAGUGCUUCGUCUGACUUUCGAGAAGCCUGCAGGAAAGCCUGGCGUGGAGGAAUGCAGGGGAGAUGGCUGGCAUCUGGACGUUCCUUCCACAUGAUGGCACACAUCUGGCUCUUUGGGGCCAGUGGAACAUUCCCCUUCCAGUUUCCCUCCAGAUGUUUGAGGAUAUGAAGAUACAGCCCAAGGGGUGAGCAAUUUAUCAAGCUUCACUGAUCAAUUACAAGCCGGCACGCAGCAGAGCCCUCGCUGGAUUUCUUAUGCUCAUUGUGUAUAAAUGCCCAGGCUGUUUCACGCAGACACACCCUGCACAACAGGCCUUCAGUCAAACAGACGGUGGACUUUUUCAUCCCCUCCUCCUUGUAUGCACACACCUCAGGGGCCCAGAACUAAGUGAGCGAUUGGUGCACAUGUGCAAGUGGACAUCCUGGAGCCCACAGAUUGGUGGGCGGUUAUUUGGCUUCUACAGAAUCCACAGUGCACGUGGUCUGCUGGCCUCCCACUUCCCAUCAAGUGGGCUUCCUGGAGCAACACUUUCACUGUGUGUCAAAGGCAGCUUCCACACCGAGUCCCUGAGGAGGGGCUCAGCAGGCUGCUGA